GACGAACGCUGGCGGCGUGCCUAAUACAUGCAAGUUGAGCGCUGAAGGUUGGUACUUGUACCAACUGGAUGAGCAGCGAACGGGUGAGUAACGCGUGGGGAAUCUGCCUUUGAGCGGGGGACAACAUUUGGAAACGAAUGCUAAUACCGCAUAAAAACUUUAAACACAAGCUUUAAGUUUGAAAGAUGCAAUUGCAUCACUCAAAGAUGAUCCCGCGUUGUAUUAGCUAGUUGGUGAGGUAAAGGCUCACCAAGGCGAUGAUACAUAGCCGACCUGAGAGGGUGAUCGGCCACAUUGGGACUGAGACACGGCUCAAACUCCUACGGGAGGCAGCAGUAGGGAAUCUUCGGCAAUGGACGAAAGUCUGACCGAGCAACGCCGCGUGAGUGAAGAAGGUUUUCGGAUCGUAAAACUCUGUUGGUAGAGAAGAACGUUGGUGAGAGUGGAAAGCUCAUCAAGUGACGGUAACUACCCAGAAAGGGACGGCUAACUACGUG
rnacentral:rRNA from 1 species